rnacentral:rRNA from 1 species
AUUGAACGCUGGCGGCAGGCCUAACACAUGCAAGUCGAGCGGAUGAAGGGAGCUUGCUCCUGGAUUCAGCGGCGGACGGGUGAGUAAUGCCUAGGAAUCUGCCUGGUAGUGGGGGAUAACGUCCGGAAACGGGCGCUAAUACCGCAUACGUCCUGAGGGAGAAAGUGGGGGAUCUUCGGACCUCACUCUAUCAGAUUAGCCUAGGUCGGAUUAGCUAGUUGGUGGGGUAAAGGCCUACCAAGGCGACGAUCCGUAACUGGUCUGAGGGGAUGAUCAGUCACACUGGAACUGAGACACGGUCCAGACUCCUACGGGAGGCAGCAGUGGGGAAUAUUGGACAAUGGGCGAAAGCCUGAUCCAGCCAUGCCGCGUGUGUGAAGAAGGUCUUCGGAUCGUAAAGCACUUUAAGUUGGGAGGAAGGGCAGUAAGUUAAUACCUUGCUGUUUUGACGUUACCAACAGAAUAAGCACCGGCUAACUUCGUG